UACGAAGGGAGCUAGCGUUGUUCGGAAUCACUGGGCGUAAAGCGCACGUAGGCGGAUUUGUCAGUCAGGGGUGAAAUCCCGGGGCUCAACCUCGGAACUGCCUUUGAUACAGCAAGUCUUGAGUUCGAGAGAGGUGGGUGGAAUUCCUAGUGUAGAGGUGAAAUUCGUAGAUACUAGGAAGAACACCGGUGGCGAAGGCGGCCCACUGGCUCGAUACUGACGCUGAGGUGCGAAAGCGUGGGGAGCAAACAGG
rnacentral:rRNA from 1 species